rnacentral:rRNA from 1 species
GAUGAACGCUAGCGAUAGGCCUAACACAUGCAAGUCGAGGGGCAUCACAUGAAGUAGCAAUACGGAUGGUGGCGACCGGCGCACGGGUGAGUAACACGUAUGCAACCUGCCUUCAACAAGGGGAUAACCCGUUGAAAGACGGACUAAUACCCUAUAACACAGGGGUCCCGCAUGGGAAUAUUUGUUAAAGGACAACCGGUUGAAGAUGGGCAUGCGUUCCAUUAGCUAGUUGGCGGGGUAACGGCCCACCAAGGCAACGAUGGAUAGGGGAACUGAGAGGUUUAUCCCCCACACUGGUACUGAGACACGGACCAGACUCCUACGGGAGGCAGCAGUGAGGAAUAUUGGUCAAUGGACGCAAGUCUGAACCAGCCACGUCGCGUGAAGGAAGACGGCCCUACGGGGUUGUAAACUUCUUUUAUACGGGAAUAAAGUGCCCCCACGCGUGGGGUUUUGCAUGUACCGUAUGAAUAAGGAUCGGCUAACUCCGUGCCAGCAGCCGCGGUAAAUACUGACUC